AGAGCGAACGCUGGCGGCAUGCCUAACACAUGCAAGUCGCACGGUCGGGGGGAGACUUCCGGCAGUGGCGGACGGGUGAGUAACGCGUAGGGAUCUAUCCUUGGAUGGGGGACAACCGCGGGAAACCGCGGCUAAUACCGCAUGAUGCCUGAGGGCCAAAGCUCGCGAGAGCGUCUGGGGAGGAGCCUGCGUCCGAUUAGCUAGUUGGUGGGGUAACGGCCCACCAAGGCGACGAUCGGUAGCUGGUCUGAGAGGAUGAUCAGCCACACUGGGACUGAGACACGGCCCAGACUCCUACGGGAGGCAGCAGUGGGGAAUAUUGGACAAUGGGCGCAAGCCUGAUCCAGCAAUGCCGCGUGGGUGAAGAAGGUCUUCGGAUUGUAAAGCCCUUUCGGCGGGGACGAUGAUGACGGUACCCGCAGAAGAAGCCCCGGCUAACUUCGUGCCAGCAGCCGC
rnacentral:rRNA from 1 species